UUUAAAUGUAGUAUAAAAAACUAGAGUAGUAAUAGUUAUAUUCUUUAAACUUAAAAAAUUUGGCGGUAUUUUAGUCUAUUCAGAGGAACCUGUUUUGUAAUCGAUAAUCCACGAUGGACCUUACUUAGUUUAGUAUUAGUUUGUAUACCGUCGUUAUAGAAAAUUUUAUUAGAAUAAUAAUUUUCAAUAAAUUUAAUAGUAAUUUUAUAUCAGAUCAAGGUGCAGCAUAUGACUAAGAAAUUAAUGGGUUACAAUAAAAUUAUUUAUAUGGAUAUAAAAAUGCAAAAUUUAUUGAAAGUGGAUUUGAAAGUAAAAUUAUAAAGAUUAAUAGUUUGAUUUUAGCUCUAAAAUAUGUAC
rnacentral:rRNA from 1 species